rnacentral:rRNA from 1 species
UACGAAGGGGGCUAGCGUUGCUCGGAAUCACUGGGCGUAAAGCGCACGUAGGCGGAUUCCUAAGUCGGGGGUGAAAUCCUGGAGCUUAACUCCAGAACUGCCUUCGAUACUGGGAAUCUUGAGUCCGGAAGAGGUGAGUGGAACUGCGAGUGUAGAGGUGAAAUUCGUAGAUAUUCGCAAGAACACCAGUGGCGAAGGCGCUCACUGGUCCGGUACUGACGCUGAGGUGCGAAAGCGUGGGAGCGAACGAGG